rnacentral:rRNA from 1 species
UACGGGGGGGGGCAAGCGUUGUUCGGAAUUACUGGGCGUAAAGGGCUCGUAGGCGGCCAACUAAGUCGGAUGUGAAAUCCCCAGGCUUAACCUGGGAACUGCAUCCGAUACUGGAUGGCUUGAAUCCGGGAGAGGGGUGUAGAAUUCCCGGUGUAGUGGUGGAAUGCGUAGAUAUCGGGGGGGAAUACCAGUGGCGAAAGCGGCACCCUAGCGUUAGCCUGACGCUCAUGUGCGAAAGCGUGGGGAGCGAACGGG